rnacentral:rRNA from 1 species
GGAGAGGGUACACCCGACCCCAUUCCGAACUCGGAAGUUAAGCUCUCCAUCGCCGAUGAUACUGCAUAACGUCAUGUGGGAAAGUAGGCCGCUGCCAAAG